rnacentral:rRNA from 1 species
AGCGAACGUUAGCGGCAGGCCUAACACAUGCAAGUCGCACGAGAACAGGGCUUCGGCCCUCAGUAAAGUGGCGGACGGGUGCGUAACACGUGGGUAAUCUGCCCUCCGGUGGGGGAUAACUGUCCGAAAGGAUAGCUAAUACCGCAUUCGUCGGCGGGGACUUCGGUCCCCGUCGGGAAAGCUGCCCUCCUCAUGCACGGUAGCGCCGGAGGAUGCGCCCGCGGCCCAUCAGCGAGUGGGCGGGGUAAUAGACCACCAAGGCAAAGACGGGUAGCUGGUCUGAGAGGAUGAUCAGCCACACUGGGACUGAGACACGGCCCAGACUCCUACGGGAGGCAGCAGUGGGGAAUAUUGGGCAAUGGGCGCAAGCCUGACCCAGCCAUGCCGCGUGAGUGAUGAAGGCCUUCGGGUCGUAAAGCUCUGUGGGGAGGGACGAAAACCUGCAGCCUAAUACGCUGCAGACUGACGGUACCUCCUUAGCAAGCACCGGCUAACUCUGUGCCAGCAGCCGCCGUAA